rfam:Candidatus Altiarchaeales archaeon WOR_SM1_86-2 WORSMTZ_26369, whole genome shotgun sequence.
GCCGAGGUGGCAGAGUCCGGUUAAAUGCGCACGCUUGGAGAGCGUGUUCUCCUUGGGAGAACUUGAGUUCAAAUCUCAACCUCGGCG